rnacentral:rRNA from 1 species
UGUGAUUGCAGGACACACUGAGCACUGAUUUCCUUUUGAACGCACAUUGCGGCCUUGGGUCUUCCCUUGGCUUCGUCUGUCUGAGGGUCGGAU